AAGCCUUAGGUAUCUUGGGUGCUGUGAGAUGGAGGGAAGAGCUUGGUAUGUGGGAGCACAGGACUUUGACAAGAAUUGUGGAAAGCAAGCAGACAGUAGGCUUUCAGUAACUAUUGAUAGCAAGGAAGGAAGAAGGAAGAGAAGUGUGAGGGAGGGAGGGAGGCGGGCACCUGAAGUGGCCUAAUUCUGAUUGAUGGAAUCUGUCUGCCCCACGCGUCUUCUCCCUCGUUACUCACUGCCUUGAGCUCAGCCACAGCUGUUUGGGGGAAUGCUUAGGAAUGCAGACGUGGGACCAGACUCACCUAUGUUCUAAUAUCAGAGGUAGCUUUUAUCAAGCUUGGCAAAGAACUAAAACAUCUCCACUUUCCCGUUUCCUCCUCUGCACAACAGGGGUCACAGGAGUCCAUCCAGACAUCACAGUGAGGGUCAAAUGAUUUGUCAGGGUCUGUGACAUCAGAGGUGCUCAAAUAAUGACAGCCCAGCAGUCAUGCAUACCUGGCCUCUGCAUCACUGUCUUCCCUGGUCUGCCCUGCUUAGCUUGCUCCCCUAUACACGGCUGCCCUGGGUCCUCAGUCCCAAGGGUAUCUUCUAUGGUCUCUGCCAAUGAAAAAGGCUAGAGCCUUCAACCUCCACCACUUAGCUCCCUAGGUGGGUGACGUCCAGGAGAUUCCCCCAGAUGGUCUUGUCUUCGUCUGAAAAUGGCAUGGAGUUAACUGAGCCAGAAGCUACCUGAGUGAGUGUUUUUCACAGGAGAAGCACUUUGAGGAUGCAGCCUUGUCAACACCAAGCUUGCUGGCUCCCUGAAAGCAAGGGUGAUGGGACCUGACUUCUAGACAGAGCUGAAGAAGAGAUCAGACUGACAGUGCAAGAAAGCUCUGCUACACAUGCCUUAGAUGGCCUCCUGGACUGAAAAGAAUAUGAUAAUGGAAAAGUGCCUCCACCAAAACAGCAUGAAGGGCCAAGGGUUGGGGCAGAACAGAUGGCAUACGGGAGUCUCGGCACCUUCUACCCCUUGCUGGCAGUGACAUCUUGACCUUGGAGAAUUCGUGAUUCUAGAAACACAGACAGACCUGAGCAGUGACAUCAGUUGCCAAGAAUGAUCCGAAGACAGGAAAAACAAAAUGGAAUAAAACUCAGAGCCUAGCACAGGAGAUUUGCUUAACCAAGAGCCCUUUCAAUAACCCAAUUCAGAAAGACAGGGAGAAUUAGGCUGGCGCCGCGGCUCAAUAGGCUAAUCCUCCACCUAGCUGUGCCUGCACCCCGGGUUCUAGUCCCAGUCAGGGCACCGUAUUCUGUCCCGGUUGCCCCUCUUCCAGGCCAGCUCUCUGCUGUGGCCAGGGAGUGCAGUGGAGGAUGGCCCAAGUCCUUGGGCCCUGCACCCCAUGGGAGACCAGGAGAAGCACCUGGCUCCUGCCUUCAGAUCAGUGCGGUGCGCCAGCCGCGGCGGCCAUUGGAGGGUGAACCAACGGCAAAGGAAGACCUUUCUCUCUCUCUCUCUCUCCCUCUCUCUCACUGUCCA